AGGCUGCAACUCGCCUGCAUGAAGUCGGAAUUGCUAGUAAUCGCAGAUCAGCAUGCUGCGGUGAAUACGUUCCCGGGCCUUGUACACACCGCCCGUCACACCAUGGGAGUCGGCAACACCCGAAGUCGGUAGUCUAACCGAAAGGAGGACGCCGCCGAAGGUGGGAUUGAUGACUGGGGUGAAGUCGUAACAAGGUACC
rnacentral:rRNA from 1 species